rnacentral:lncRNA from 1 species
UUUUGAGAUGUGAGUGGUGGGCUCUCUUGGCUGGGCCGGCCCACGAGCGCAUGAACGCUCGAAGCUAUCGAGUGUGGGCUGGGCCGGGGUUGGACACUGACAUCUGGUAUCAGAGCCCGCUUGGCCCAUGCCUGCCUUGGGGGGCUUCCCAAGGGGGUGGGAUGUCAGGGGCCGGUAGUCAGUGCCUCGGCUUUAGUCCCACAUCGGCUAGCCAAGGGGGCCGCGGGCAGCUUAAAAAGGGAGAGUUCCCCUCCUCUCAUCAGCCUGGCUUUUGGGAUGUGAGUGGUGGGCUCUCUUGGCUGGGCCGGCCCACGAGCGCAUGAACGCUCGAAGCUGUCGAGUGUGGGCUGGGCCGGGGGUUGGACGCUGACAUCUGGUAUCAGAGCCUGGUUGGCCCAUGCCUGCCUUGGGGGGCUUCCUAAGGGGGGUGGGAUGUCAGGGGCCGAUAGUCAGUGCCUCGGCUUUAGUCCCACAUCGGCUAGCCAAGGGGGCCGUGGGCAGCUUAAAAAGGGAGAGUUCCCCUCCUCUCAUCAGCCUGGCUUUUGGGAUGUGAGUGGUGGGCUCUUUUGGCUGGGCCGGCCCACGAGCGCAUGAACGCUCGAAGCUGUCGAGUGUGGGCUGAGCCGGAGGUUGGACGCUGACAUCUGGUAUCAGAGCCCGGUUGGCCCAUGCCUGCCUUGGGGGGCUUCCCAAGGGGGGUGGGAUGUCAGGGGCCGGUAGUCAGUGCCUCGGCUUUAGUCCCACAUCGGCUAGCCAAGGGGGCCGUGGGCAGCUUAAAAAGGGAGAGUUCCCCUCCUCUCAUCAGCCUGGCUUUUGAGAUGUGAGUGGUGGGCUCUCUUGGCUGGGCCGGCCCACGAGCGCAUGAACGCUCGAAGCUAUCGAGUGUGGGCUGGGCCGGGGGUUGGACAUUGACAUCUGGUAUCAGAGCUCGCUUGGCCCAUGCCUGCCUUGGGGGGCUUCCCAAGGGGGGUGGGAUGUCAGGGGCCGGUAGUCAGUGCCUCGGCUUUAGUCCCACAUCGGCUAGCCAAGGGGGCCGUGGGCAGCUUAAAAAGGGAGAGUUCCCCUCCUCUCAUCAGCCUGGCU